CCCCUCGCUCCUCCCCACCGCGAUAACUCCGCCCCCGCCUCCUCGCUCCUCCCCCGCUGCCAUAGCCCGCCGCCUCCUCGCUCCUCCUCGCCGCCCGCCCCACGAAUCCCCGCGCCUCCUAGCUUCUCCUCCGCGCCCGCGAAUCCCCGCCGCCUCCUCGCUCCGCGCGCAUCCUCCCUCCUCGCGACGGGGCAGCGAGGUCGUCCCCUUCCGCUGCCACCCCCGCUGCCCACGCCGGAGACGAGGUCGUCCCCAGCCACCGCCGGAGCCGUGGUCUUCCCCGGAGCCGACGUCGUCCCCAGUUGCCGCCGGAGCCGAGUUCUUCCCCAUCCGCAUUGGAUCUGAAUGCACCACAUAUCUUCCCCUCUGGAAAUUAUUAUUUUUGGAUGAAAUUGACGGAAUACCAAUGGCUAUUGCAACAAGACGUGAGGACUGGCAAGCCAUCUCUUCAUAUAUUUCUUGCUGAUAUGAGAACGUUCGAGGUAUUGCCAUAUAAUUGAUUUGUAUUUCAAGCUCCUCCUGCUGUAGCAGCAGUAAAAAAAAUGCUCGAAUGUGAUUGGGCGACACAUGUACAUAUGCUUUUAAGGUAUGCGGGAUUAUCAGAGUUCUGUUGUUGCUUCAUGUCACAAAGGAGAGGACCAUUUUAUUGGUACCAUUUAUCCAUAUCAUGAUGGCCAUGUCCCUUCAGCGACAUCUGGAAACCUAGGAUCUCACCUACAAAAAUAGGAAUCCAGGAGUUGGAGCCAUUCGAACAUGCAGCAUGUCUCUUGCUAAUGUCUUCCUGAGCUUUCAAAUCAUAAGGCCCUUGCCUCACUGAUCAAAAUAUUCAGGUCACUAGAGGUUCUAAUUUGCUUGCAAUCCUUAUGGUUUCCACUCAUCACAGUGAUAAGGCACCAUAUUCUUAUGGCCAGUGCUUCUAUGUUCUGAGCUUACUGGUAUCCAUAUUUUUAAGCACUCUAUUUCUUUGCUCUGGUUUCUUUUUUUGCAACCAGUUUCUGAUGGAACAUUUCUUAUGGCUAGAAAUUGUCACGUAAUCUUCAAUGCGCUCUAGAAAUUUCAGAUUGAGCUAUUUGAAUUUUGCUAUGUUAAUUUGAAUAAUACAGUAUUCCAAAGCGGCAGUGGAUCAUUAUAACCAACUACCACAAACUAUUCAAUUGCAGAAUUUCUGCAUUCCAAUUUUUGCAUUUCUCAAUUUAAUCAUGUAUUUUGGUUUGAGUAAUUGCAAAGUAAAAUUGAUUUUGUAAUUGUAAAAAUGAAUGAAUUUUCUGGACAACAUUUAAUGUGAUUUUAUCAAAACACAAUGAACCUUUUAAUUUGUCCGUAUAGUUCUGUUUUCUUUUAUUUUCAAAAGUAAGAUCCUCAGUAUAAGCUUUUGUUUGUGGAUCUCUUAAUAAUGAAUAUUGGGGGUCCAAUCCUCUCUUGCUCCACCGUUGGACCAGUAGUAGCAGCAGGUUGGAAGCUGGUGAACACGAUCUCAGGGAAGGACACAAUGGCGGCUUCGUACGAUCUCACAUAUGACAAUUCUAUCAUUGCCUUAGAUUUUACCAACCAAAGAUGCAAGGGGUACUCAUUCUUUUGAUUUUGUCCAGAUGGACAGCUCCAGUCCAUAACAUUCUAUCUACACAGUCAACGACUCAGUUAAUAAUAAAACUGAAAAAAUGUUCUCUUUUAUUUUUAAAUAAGAUUUUCACACAACCUGAAAGUAAGAUAUCAAAGGAGCACUGGCCUGAUAUAAAUGAUUUUUUUCUGACGAAUGUGGACUACCAAUGUAAUGCACAUGCCUAAGAUAUUUAAGGUUUUCUUUUUUCUGCAGUACUUAAAGACUUGUAUUUUGUAAUAUUGUAGGUUAAAUCUCAACUUCUGAUGUAUCUCAAGUGUAAAUAUGGUCAUUGUCAUAUUGCUAAUAUUUUGGAUUUAAUCAAAUAAAUGAUGACCAUUGCUGCCC